AUACGUAGGUGGCAAGCGUUGUCCGGAAUUAUUGGGCGUAAAGCGCAUGUAGGCGGUUUCUUAAGUCGGUCGUGAAAAUCCGGGGCUUAACGCCGUAUGGCCAUCGAAAAUGCUGAACUUGAGUGCAGGAGAGGAAAGGGGAACUCCCAGUGUAACGGUGAAAUGGGUAGAUAUUGGGAAGAACACCGGUGGCGAAGGCACCUUUCUGGAGUCUGUCUGACGCUCAGAUGCGAAAGCCAGGGGAGCGAACGGGAUUAGAUACCCCGGUAGUCCUGGCCGUAAACGAGAGGUAUUAGGUGUGGGAGGUAUCGACUCCUUCCGUGCCGAAGUUAACGCAAUAAGUACCCCGCCUGGGGAGUACGGCCGCAAGGCUUAAACUCAAAUGAAUUGGCGGGG
rnacentral:rRNA from 1 species